rnacentral:piRNA from 1 species
UCCCGAUUGUGCUGACAGGAAGUGCUCUGU